rnacentral:rRNA from 1 species
UACGUAGGGGGCAAGCGUUGUCCGGAAUCAUUGGGCGUAAAGAGCGUGUAGGCGGCCCGACAAGUCCGCCGUGAAAGUCCAGGGCUCAACCCUGGAAUGCCGGUGGAAACUGUCGGGCUUGAGUUCGGAAGAGGCGAGUGGAAUUCCUGGUGUAGCGGUGAAAUGCGCAGAUAUCAGGAGGAACACCAGAGGCGAAGGCGACCUCCUGGGUCGUACCUGACGCUGAGAUGCGAAAGCUAGGGGAGCAAACGGG